AUACGUAGGGGGCGAGCGUUGUCCGGAAUGAUUGGGCGUAAAGGGCGCGUAGGCGGCCCGGUAAGUCUGGAGUGAAAGUCCUGUUUUUAAGAUGGGAAUUGCUUUGGAUACUGUCGGGCUUGAGUGCAGGAGAGGUAAGUGGAAUUCCCAGUGUAGCGGUGAAAUGCGUAGAGAUUGGGAGGAACACCAGUGGCGAAGGCGACUUACUGGACUGUAACUGACGCUGAGGCGCGAAAGUGUGGGGAGCAAACAGGAUUAGAUACCCUGGUAGGCCACACGGUAAACGAUGAAUGCUAGGUGUAGGGGGUAUCGACCCCUUCCGUGCCGCAGUCAACACAAUAAGCAUUCCGCCUGGGGAGUACGGCCGCAAGGUUGAAACUCAAAUGAAUUGACGGGG
rnacentral:rRNA from 1 species